rnacentral:rRNA from 1 species
UACGUAGGGAGCAAGCGUUGUCCGGAAUCAUUGGGCGUAAAGCGCACGUAGGCGGCCCUGUAAGUCCGCUGUGAAAGUCAAAGGCUCAACCUUUGAAAGCCGGUGGAUACUGCAGGGCUAGAGUCCGGAAGAGGCGAGUGGAAUUCCUGGUGUAGCGGUGGAAUGCGCAGAUAUCGGGAAGAACACCCGUGGCGAAGGCGGCUCUCUGGGACGGUACUGACGCUGAGACGCGAAAGCGUGGGGAGCAAACAGG